UCAUUUGGCAAAGUUCUGGCAAAGAGAUUUGCAGAGUGUCGGGUGACCGGCAAAGAGAUCUGCAAAGUGUCAGUUGAAGAUGACGGGAGGGGUCUCAGAGUAAUUAGUGACUGGAGAAUAGCAUGCAGGAGGUUCUGUGGCUGAUUAAACCAGGUGAAAUGCAGACUUGUGGUCAACCAACCACAGAAACUGUAUAAUUCCUGCUGACGUUUCCAGUUUCCAUGCAGGAAUACAGGUAGGAGGAGGUGAGUCCUACAUAGCAGAGUAUGAUGGAGAGGGGUAAGGAAGACAGAGUGCAGUACAGCCAGCUGAAAGGCAAGACAAGAUGGAGAAAGAAGAAAAGGGAAUACAGAUCAUCUGGCAAAGAGAUUUGCAGAGUGUCGGGUGACCGGCAAAGAGAUCUGCAAAGUGUCAGUUGAAGACGACGGGAGGGGUUACGGAGGUAGCAACGACUGGAGUAUAACAUGCAGGAGAUCAUCAUUUGGUAAAGUUCUAGCAAAGAGAUUUGCAGAGUGUCGGGUGACCGGCAAAGAGAUCUGCAAAGUGUCAGUUGAAGACGACGGGAAGGAUCGCAGAGUAAUUAGUGACUGGAGAAUAGCAUGCAGGAGUGGGUGAUCCCUGAAUAGCUGCCCUGGGAGGAGAGCUGCGGACACAUGCUCCAAAUGUUGGGACAUAUGCAUUACCUAUUAGGAGAUGCAGUAAAGCUGCCGGAUGUCAGUUUUACGGCAGUCAGAAUACUGACACUGGGAUCCCGACACUCUUCAGAAUCCCGACGUUGGAACCCCGAAAAGGCAAGGAUACCGAUGCCCGUAUCCCCAUGAUCAUAGGUCUGGUGCUGGGCAACGGGGGAUAGGUUUAGGCAUC